UAUAACCUGGGAUGUGCGAUAACUCUUACCGGUUUUGAUCCUACAUAUGACAAUAGGGAUUCCGAUAUCUUCUGGCGUAUGUCAUGCCUCCACCGCGUGGAAGACAGAAAGCAGAGUGUGGUUGCCCACCUGGCGAACUGCUGGGAGUCAAUAUGGUAAGAGCCGGCAUCUUGGGCUAUCA
rnacentral:other from 1 species